AAAUUCCAAAAAAUGUAAAAAUGUGAAUUCAGUGGUAGCAAGCCUCUCCCCAGGAAGGCUGUCAUUAUUUACAAAGUCAGUUGGGCUAUGACAGUGAUCCUUCUGUAGACUCAAUUUCACUUUCCUGGUUUUUUUUUUUUUGACAGAACUCCGCAACACAUCGUCUAAAUAACACAUAGCAGGCAAGCUGAAGUCUGCAGCUGCCAUCAGGGACUUGGACAAUUGACUUACUGUCCUGGUGUGCAGAUGAGCAAAUUGGGAUGGGGCAAAAGGUCAAUCUGCAUUCAUGGUGUGUUAAUGUCUUUGUAGCUGAAAAAAAAUGAUCAUAACCCUUCUGGAUAAACCCAAAUAAAUUACAAAAGCAGUACUUUGAAGAAUUACACCACCACCAACAGCAGUGAUAGUCUUAGAGAAUAUAUAAGGAAGCAUACCUUUCAAGAAGAAAAAAAAUCUCAAUCAAGUAUGGUGGGUGGCUUCCAGAAGUUAUUGUGGCAUGCAUGAAGACAAAGGGGAACAAUAAAAUACAGUUAAACAAAGAGUAGCCUGCAACAUGAAGGAGAUUUUCUGGUUGAAAGACAGUCUGGUGGAUAUGCUCUGGAAUAUUCUCAUUCAUUACCAAAAGACAGAAAAUUAUCUCUAAUUGAUUUAGCUCCAAUCUCAAGUUACCACUGUGGGAGGUGAAUUCUCUGGAGAGCUGAGUGAAUGAACCUGGCAAAGCAGCAAAGUUGCACAGGAAGCCACUGUUUAAUGGGAAAAUGUCCAUUCUGUUAUGAAUAAUGGCAAAGGUAAGAUAGAAACAAAUAAUUGAUUUUCAUGGAAGGGAGAAGAAUUGACGUAGGUUUAAUUCACCA
rnacentral:lncRNA from 1 species